rnacentral:snoRNA from 1 species
CGGCAACGAUGAUGACAGGAAUUGUGGCUGCGUGCGGCGUCCCGUCGCCGCGUGGAGACACCAGUCCCUCUAAGCUGACGUUGCCC